UAUCUUGCUUGCAGAUGCAUUUUCUAGCUGACCACGCUAUUAAGAGCUGCUAUCAAUCACGCAGCCUCCCAGUUCCGGCUGUCGGGAGAGGAGGGAGGAUUGGGGAGAGGGGAGGCUGGGCAAGCUGGGAAGGAGAUAAAAUUGCAGCGGGUGUGUGUGUCUGUGUGGGUGUGUGUGUGUUGUGUGAGAGUGUAUGCGCGCGCCCGCGGAGCAGGCCAGUCUCCAGUCCGGGUUUUGCUGGCUGCCACCGCUCCUGGUAGGCUGCUCUUUCUCUCCCAGUGUCUGGGUCACAGGCAUGUGGCAGUGUUGGCCCUGCCGCUAGGGCUGAAGGAGCGCCAGCCGGAGCAGCAGUGGCCGCAUCCCCCCCAGCUGCGGGCGGGGCCUUGCGCGGUCACUGCCUCCCCGAGCCGCCGAGCCGUGGGGACAUGCAACCGCGCAGUGCUGCCCUGCGGCCGUCAGGGCCUCCUUUUGUUUAGCAAGUGCAUUUCACGCCCCGAGCCCCCGGCCCGCCCUGCCCCUCCCCGCGGGCCUGAGUUUGCAAGGGCCCAGCACUGGACUAGGACGAGGCCUGCAGACUCAGCUUCUGCCGCUGACCGGCCGCAGGCAAGUGGCCGGGCGCCCUGUGCUGCGAGAGGGACUCGGGUCGUGGGCCAGGAAGUUGGACAAGUGUGUGCGCAGGGGCUCUCCGAGCCCCCCGGUACAUAGUUGUGUAUUCUUCGUUGUGGGUUCUUCUAGUUGUGGCAUGUGGGACGCUGCCUCAGCGUGGUCUGAUGAGCAGUGCCAUGUCUGCACCCAGGAUUCGAACUAACGAAGCACUGGGCCACCUGCAGCGGAGCGCGCGAACUUAACCACUCGGACACGGGGCCAGCCCCUGGAGAUAAGUUUUUAACUCAUUUGCAUAAACACCAAAAAGUAUGAUUUCUGAUCAUAUAGGAAGAUAUGUUUAGUUUUCUAAGAAACUGCCAUACUGUCUUCUAAAGUUUCUGUACCAUUUUGCAUUUCCAACAGCAAUGAAUGAGAGUUCUUGUUGCUCCAUAUUCUUGCUGACAUUUGGUGUUGUCAUUAUUUUGGAUUUUAGCCCUUUUUAUUUAAAAAAUUUUAAAAUAACUACUAAUUUCUGGUAUCAGGUAUGUUGUGGUUUUGAUUUUCUAUCCUAUUUCCCAUAGAAAGGAGAAAUGAAGACCAUAAAUAUAUAUUACAUGUACCUCGUUCUCAAUCCCGUAGAAGAAAGGCAUAAAGGUGUAAAUUUAGGAAUAAAACAAUCUGAUUACACUUUUUUUUUAAAUGGGCGUAAUUCUGGUACAAUAAUGUUAGGUUAUGGUUCAUGUGAACUGUAGUAGUAUUAAUUUUUUAGUGGUUUCAUAUAAGUGUUAUUUACCCUCAGUUACUCUGUGUUCCUCAUUUUGCAAAAGAUUUCAUUUUAUAAAGGGAAAAGGAUGAAGCUUUUGAAAUAAACUCAUUCUACCAAAGGUCCUUAUUUGCUGGAUAUUUAUAGAUGCAAAGAUUUGUAUUAAUUUUUUUAUUGUGAAACCUUUUAUUGAAUGGUCAAGGCACUCAGAAGUGAGGAAGAUUUGAUCCUGUCGUUGGAGUUAUAAUGUAUCUAAUAAUAAUUGCAGCAGUGAAUAUUCGAGGGCUUACUAUAGGGCAGAUAUUGUGCACUUCACUUCUAAGAUGAAGCUAGAAUUACUUCCCAGCUAUGCUUAUUUAGAGCAUUUUUGACUUUGCAUAUAUCUGGUUACUUAUUAGAAUUUAAUGCCAACUUAACUGCACUCUAUACCUACCCAAAGCCUUGGUUGUGACGAUGAUUUGGACAGGCUCUCUGGUGGUUAUGCACUUCAUUAAUUCCUCUGUCAGGGGUUCUUAACUUUAUUUUUUUAUUAUUUUUUAAUUUUUUGGUGUGGAAGAUUGGCCCUGAGCUAACAUCUGUUGCCAGUCUUCCUCUUUUUCCUUGAGGAAGAUUGUUGCUGAGCUAAUAUCUGUGCCAAUCUUCCUUUAUUUUGUAUGUGGGACCCUGCUACAGCAUGGCUUGGUAAGUGUGUGUAGAUCCAUUCCUGGGAUCUGAACGUGAACCCGGGGCCCCCUAAGUGGAGUGUGUGACUUAACCACUAUGCCAUUGGGCCAGCCCUUAACUUUAUUAGGGACUUCAUUGAAUGUUAGUGCAAGCUAUAAUUUUUCCCCUCCGAGCAGAGUUUGUGAAUGUUUGGCCUACAUGUCCACAGUACUCAAUUGCAGGUAGUUUAUUUUUUUAUUUUUUAUUUUUUUUUAAGAUUUUAUUUUUUUCCUUUUUCUCCCCAAAGCCCCUCCGGUACAUAGUUGUAUAUUCUUAGUUGUGGGUCCUUCUAGUUGGGGCAUGUGGGAUGCCGCCUCCUCGUGGUUUGAUGAGCAGUGCCAUGUCCUCGCCCAGGAUUCGAACUGACGAAACACUGGGCCACCUGCAGUGGAGCGUGAGAACUUAACUACUCGGCCACGGGGCCAGCCCCAAUGCAGGUAGUUUAAAGAAGCCCUGAAGCCCAUCCGUGGACCUCUCAUUAAGAACUCCUGUUCUAGCGAGCCCUAAAUCUCUGUUUAGGCAAAUAAACAAUCCAGACUUUCGCAUUUCUUAUUUUUGGCAGAUUUGCUUUCCUUGAAUAGUGUGGUGUGAGGC
rnacentral:lncRNA from 1 species